UUUUAACAUUUGUCUCAAAAUGUCUGAAAAAACGCCUCUAGGUGAAAGAAAGAGUCAGACAGCGUCAUCAAAUGAAGCAGACACGGCCAAGGAUGUGCCGGUGUUGACACCUCCACCGCUAUCAUCCAACUCCCACACUCCACUCCGCUAGGCCAUCAUCAUCCAUGUGCCAGCCCCGUGCUCGGCACCCCACUGUCUCCUCCAGCUCCUCCUUUCUUUUUCUUCGUUUUCAUAUUCUUCUCCUAUCAAUCUGGGAAAAAGCAUUUUGAAUAACUUUCAUGGUUUUGGGAGCAACAUAGUAGACCUGAUAAAAGAUGAGGUAUUGGCUGAUAUAAUAUUGUCUCUAUUCUAGGAUCUGAGUGACGAUAAUGGCAAAUGUUCUAACUUCACAGGAAGCUUUGAAGAGAAGUGGAGGCUGGAUAUGGCUUAUGGUUUGUGACAUGUUUGCGGGGAAGUGGAAUCCAUUGUUAGCAUUGUUGUUACAUGGGUAGAGAUCCUAAAGAAGAGCUACAGAGAUUUGUCAAGUGAACUAGCAUGCUUUUGGCGUUUGUUUCUGUAGGUUAUAAUUCAGUUGUUCAAGAACAAGGUAUAAUUCAAGUUGCCAAUGCCUUACCAAGUAUAUAAGCCUGCAAGAAGUGGGUCUGCACUGUUUUGGUUCAUUUCCCUUCCUAUGUAGCCCACGUGGUUCAGCAGGGGGCUUGGGGGUGCAGAGCUUAGGGAAGCAAGAGUUUUCCACCUUGAUAACAAAAACGUGCGGAAACAGUUUGAUAUUUUGGCAUAAUUAGUAUUCUGAUCAAGCCUUAUUGGUGUUCGAAUCAGUGCUAUAAACAGCAUGGUCUUGUGGGUCUGGUUGAAAUUUUAAAUCAUGGUAGGCUAAUGGAUGGCCGAGGGAGCACCAUUGGCUUCAGUGAACAUCAAUUAUCGUGAUGCCAAAGAUUGGAGAAGAUAAGUUCCUAAAAAGUUCUUGCAAAUGUGUAUUGAUGGUCCAGGAAACAUGAAUACGUCUUUCCCCCUAUUCUGAGAGAGGUAAAUUUUUGUCACCAUUGAGACUUGAACCUGGAACCUCCCACAAACCCUCCCCAUCCCAUUUAGCACUUGAGCCAGGCCUCAAGGGCACAAUGGGAUGAUAUUGUUGUUUUCAAUAAUCUUUCCCUUCAGCAAUAUGAGCCUGUUGCCAAGCCCUGGUUGAGGUAUAUUGCGAGUGUCACAGAGCUGCAAUACAAGCUACUUUACCGCUAUUGUGUCGGGGCUGUCACUGCUCCUAUCCAACUCAUGCUGGAAGCAUUCACGGCAUAAGGUGAAUGAACGAGGGUUUUCCCCCGAUGUCACUCCCUUCCUUUCCACUUGUCGUCCAUGGUAGUUCAUUUUCACUGCAUUAAGAGGAUAUCUUGAUGGCUAUCUCCACAAGGGUCACUUUAGCAUGUUGUCAUCGUAUAGAAGCAAUCUCUGAGACUUUCCUCGAAGGUGUCUACUGGUAUAACACCAAGAGGCUUCAUGCCUCCUUGAAUCAAGAGCAAGGCUUUAGGAGCUUAACAUGGUCCUGGUGAAUCUUGAUUGUGGGUUGGGUUGGGUUGGGUUGGGUUGAGUUGGAUGCAUGUUGUUGAGAUGAGAUCGGCCUAGACAUUGGCAUGCCUAAUUUGAUUGGAUUUAGAUUAAAGGGGUGUCAUUACAUGGACGAGUACUGCUCCCACUACAUUUCCUACCAAAAGGUUCAAGAGGUGGUUAUGGGGUCGGAUUGUGUCAAGUUUACAUUGUGUUUAGGGAAAGAGAAGGAGCACUGCACUUGACUCGGGUACUAAUCAUGAACUGUACUAAUGCAAUCAUCAUCUGUAUUAUAAUUUAUAAGCAUGCAUGUCUUGGCUUUGAACUUUGUCCAGUCAAACAAAGAAGUUCAUAAAAAAUGAUGCUGCACCAUAUGAUUGCUUAAGAUAUGAUCAGUAAUCUGAUUAUCAUUCCAGAUGAUCAUUCAAUUGUCAGGGACCCAUCAUCCCAAUGCAAUUAUGUUGGCAUAUCUUUUUAC